rnacentral:rRNA from 1 species
GGCGAACGGGUGAGUAAUGCAUCGGAACGUGCCCAGUCGUGGGGGAUAACGCAGCGAAAGUUGUGCUAAUACCGCAUACGAUCUAUGGAUGAAAGCGGGGGACCUUCGGGCCUCGCGCGAUUGGAGCGGCCGAUGUUAGAUUAGGUAGUUGGUGGGGUAAAGGCUCACCAAGCCAACGAUCUAUAGCUGGUCUGAGAGGACGACCAGCCACACUGGAACUGAGACACGGUCCAGACUCCUACGGGAGGCAGCAGUGGGGAAUUUUGGACAAUGGGCGAAAGCCUGAUCCAGCAAUACCGCGUGCAGGAAGAAGGCCCUCGGGUUGUAAACUGCUUUUGUACGGAACGAAACGGCGCGCUCUAAUAAAGUGCGCUAAUGACGGUACCGUAAGAAUAAGCACCGGCUAACUACGUGCCAGCAGCCGCGGUAAUACGUAGGGUGCAAGCGUUAAUCGGAAUUACUGGGCGUAAAGCGUGC